AUUGAACGCUGGCGGCAGGCUUAACACAUGCAAGUCGAGCGGGGGAGGUUGCUUCGGUAACUGACCUAGCGGCGGACGGGUGAGUAAUGCUUAGGAAUCUGCCUAUUAGUGGGGGACAACAUUCCGAACGGAAUGCUAAUACCGCAUACGCCCUACGGGGGAAAGCAGGGGAUCUUCGGACCUUGCGCUAAUAGAUGAGCCUAAGUCGGAUUAGCUAGUUGGUGGGGUAAAGGCCUACCAAGGCGACGAUCUGUAGCGGGUCUGAGAGGAUGAUCCGCCACACUGGGACUGAGACACGGCCCAGACUCCUACGGGAGGCAGCAGUGGGGAAUAUUGGACAAUGGGCGGAAGCCUGAUCCAGCCAUGCCGCGUGUGUGAAGAAGGCCUUUUGGUUGUAAAGCACUUUAAGCGAGGAGGAGGCUCUUAAGGUUAAUACCCUUGAUGAGUGGACGUUACUCGCAGAAUAAGCACCGGCUAACUCUGUGCCAGCCGCCGCUGUAAAAC
rnacentral:rRNA from 1 species